rnacentral:rRNA from 1 species
CGAUAACGAACGAGACCUUAACCUGCUAAAUAGCCAGGCUAGCUUUGGCUGGUCGCCGGCUUCUUAGAGGGACUAUCGGCUCAAGCCGAUGGAAGUUUGAGGCAAUAACAGGUCUGUGAUGCCCUUAGAUGUUCUGGGCCGCACGCACGCUACACUGACAGAGCCAACGAGUUCAUCACCUUGGCCGGAAGGUCUGGGUAAUCUUGUUAAACUCUGUCGUGCUGGGGAUAGAGCAUUGCAAUUAUUGCUCUUCAACGAGGAAUGCCUAGUAAGCGCACGACAUCAGCAUGCGUUGAUUACGUCCCUGCCCUUUGCACACACCGCCCGUCGCUACUACCGAUUGAAUG